AACGAACGCUGGCGGCAUGCCUAACACAUGCAAGUCGAACGAGACCUUCGGGUCUAGUGGCGCACGGGUGCGUAACGCGUGGGAACCUGCCCUUAGGCUCGGAAUAACUCCCCGAAAGGGGUGCUAAUACCGGAUAAUGUCUUCGGACCAAAGAUGUAUCGCCUUUGGAUGGGCCCGGGUUGGAUUGGCUAGUUGGUAGGGUAAAAGCAUACCAAGGCGACGAUCCAUAGCUGGUCUGAGAGGAUGACCAGCCACACUGGAACUGAGACACGGACCAGACUCCGACGGGAGGCAGCAGUGGGGAAUAUUGGACGAUGGGCGAAAGCCUGAUCCAGCAAUGCCGGGGGAGUGAUGAAGGCCUUAGGGUUGUAAAGCUCUUUUACCCGGGAUGAUAAUGACAGUACCGGGAGAAUAAGCACCGGCUAACUACGUG
rnacentral:rRNA from 1 species